rnacentral:rRNA from 1 species
UACGUAGGGUGCGAGCGUUGUCCGGAAUUAUUGGGCGUAAAGGGCUCGUAGGCGGUUUGUCGCGUCGGGAGUGAAAACGCCGUGCUUAACACGGCGCUUGCUUUCGAUACGGGCAGACUAGAGGUAUGCAGGGGAGAACGGAAUUCCUGGUGUAGCGGUGAAAUGCGCAGAUAUCAGGAGGAACACCGGUGGCGAAGGCGGUUCUCUGGGCAUGACCUGACGCUGAGGAGCGAAAGCAUGGGGAGCGAACAGG